AGAAGUUCCUGAGGACCCCUGCUGUGUAGGCUGGCUGGCAUCGGUGGCAAUGAGGUUCCUAUAGAAAUCUGUAGAUAGUUGUUCACUUCGAAUUAAGCAAGAGGACGAAAACUAUUCAUUUGGAUCCAAGGUCUGCCUGUAUA